AGUGAACGCUGGCGGUAGGCCUAACACAUGCAAGUCGAACGGCCGCACAGUAAGAUCUUGCUCUUACGGGUGGCGAGUGGCGGACGGGUGAGGAAUACAUCGGAAUCUACUUUUUCGUGGGGGAUAACGUAGGGAAACUUACGCUAAUACCGCAUACGACCUACGGGUGAAAUCAGGGGAUCUUCGGACCUUGCGCGAUUGAAUUAGCCGAUGUCGGAUUAGCUAGUUGGCUGGGUAAAGGCCCACCAAGGCGACGAUCCGUAGCUGGUCUGAGAGGAUGAUCAGCCACACUGGAACUGAGACACGGUCCAGACUCCUACGGGAGGCAGCAGUGGGGAAUAUUGGACAAUGGGCGCAAGCCUGAUCCAGCCAUACCGCGUGGGUGAAGAAGGCCUUCGGGUUGUAAAGCUCUUUUGUUGGGAAAGAAAAGCAGCAGGUUAAUACCCCGCUGUUCUGACGGUACCCAAAGAAUAAGCACCGGCUAACUUCGUG
rnacentral:rRNA from 1 species